GCAGCGCGCAAUGAUAUCGACGAUCGCGUUGCCGAUCGUCAGAACGUCGUAUUUU
rnacentral:sRNA from 1 species